rnacentral:rRNA from 1 species
CCUACGGGAGGCAGCAGUGGGGAAUAUUGCGCAAUGGGCGAAAGCCUGACGCAGCGACGCCGCGUGAGGGAUGAAGGUCUUCGGAUCGUAAACCUCUGUCAGCAGGGAAGAAAGGUCACUGUGCUAAUCAGCAGUGAAUUGACGGUACCUGUAAAGGAAGCACAGGCUCACUCCGUGCCAGCAGCCGCGGUAAUACGGAGGGUGCGAGCGUUGAUCGGAAUUACUGGGCGUAAAGCGCUCGUAGGCGGUAUGUCAAGUCAAGGGUGAAAUCCCCGCGCUCAACGUGGGAACUGCAUUUGAAACUGGCAGACUGGAGUGUGUGAGAGGAUAGUGGAAUUCCAGGUGUAGGAGUGAAAUCCGUAGAUAUCUGGAGGAACAUCAGUGGCGAAGGCGACUAUCUGGCACAUAACUGACGCUGAGGAGCGAAAGCGUGGGUAGCAAACAGGAUUAGAUACCCGGGUAGUC